rnacentral:tRNA from 1 species
GCCCGAGUGGUGAAAUCGGUAGACACAACAGAUUUAAAAUCUGUCGAUCUUUUUGGUCGUGCCGGUUCAAGUCCGGCCUCGGGCACCA